CCUCGGAGGCAGGAGUGCGUUUGCGCCGCCGCCGUGGAGGUGGCAUCGGGUGCUAAGGGUUGCUUAUUCGCUCCGGUCCUUGCACGCGGGAGGAGGAGGGUGAUAUCGUCUCUUCUCUCUCUUUCUCUAUCUCUAUCUAUCUUCCUCUCUCUCUCUCUCUCUCUCUCUCUCUCUCACUCGCUCUCUCACUCUGCCGCGCGCUUGCUCACCCUCACUGAAACACACAUUCUCUUUCCAUCUCCCUCGCUCUUACUCUUUCACCCUCACGGCGCGGGCGAUCUCUCUCUCUCUCUCUCUUUCUCUCUCUCUUUCUCACUCACACGAGUUAUCGCUAUAUCGUUCUCGCUCCCUCUCUUUCUCACUCUCCUUCUUUCUCGCUUUCUCGCUUUCUCCUAUCUCGCUCGCGACUGCUUCUCUCCGACACGCGUACACACGCACGUACACACACAAGCGGGCGAACGAAGAGACAGUGUGAGAAGGAGAAAGAGAGAGAGAGAAGAGUACACGUAGACACACGUACGUAGAACGUACGGGGGUGGGGAACCCCUCGUCGUCCCCGACUGCAGGGUUAGGGUGGUCUUUAGGUCUGUCAGUAGCAAAGCGGCGGCCUCAUCAUACGGAGCUGCCGGGCUGACCAGCCAGGCCGAAAUCACUUAAGACGCGUACACCUUGUAAUAGAAGGACCGGCACGGGGGCGCGCGCGCGUCCACCGAUAUCCACAUACACAUACACACACACACACACAUACACACACACACGCAUUUACACUAACGCGUCAUAUACUUACAAAAGCAUGUAUACAUAUAUAAAUACAGAGAUACAUAUAUACACAUACAUACACACAUACACAUAUAUAUAUUCGGAAUCACAAGCAUUUACCCGUGUACGGAAGGACACGCAUAAUACAAACGAUCGGACACGGGGUGCAGGAUAUUGAAGGAUCUUGUGUGCGCGCGUUCGUGCACUUAUCACGAAGGAAUCAAGCGAUAGAGAAAAGAAGCGAAGGAACGGCAGUCGUAGCGGCAGCAGCGAAACACGCGUAUCUAUCACCGCGAAUUAUCGUGUUCAUGAAACGCAAGAGCAAAGCUUUUCGGCGUCUUUAAGCACGAAUGCACGAAGAAGAGGAAACGUCGGCAGAAGAAGGAGGAAUAUCAUCGUGGAUGGACGUCCUAUUCGUGAGAAGAUGUCUAGUUAUCCGAAGGAAGCGGGACCAAGUCGUUUGAGACGCUAAGACGUACGGUGUUGCGACGGGAAGACGUUCGUUGCCGGUGGUGUUGGUAGUGGUGGUGGUUCUGGUGGUGGUGCUGGUGGUGGUGGUGGUAGUGCUGCUGCUCGUGGAGGUGGUGGUAGUGGUGGUGCUCCUGGUGAUAGUAGUCGCUGGCCGCCCUUACAGAAAGACGCUGCUUGCUGCUGCUCGGAAGAGGGCUCCUUGGACCUUUUCGGACAUGAUGUCGAGCGAAGUGAUAAGAUUCUCGCGAAGGACGAUAUGACGAUACGGGAUAACAUCGUGUUUUAUACCGUGUUGGCUUACCGUAGACACUUAACAUAAUUAUUUAACCUUACGCGAGUGAUUAUACGGGACAAACGGGAUGAGUUAAUGGAACGAAACGAUUGAAGGGUGAAAGAGUUGAAAAAAAAAAAAAAAGAUAGAACUCGGCUGGAGCUACGAGAAACUUAAGAAAAUUUUACGAUUACGGGUAUAUCAAUAGGAACAUCCUUUCCCAGUGUGAUAUUCGUGACAUUCGUCUUACGUUCGUGUCUUCGAUGCCUCGAACGUCUCAUCGCUUAAAACGACAUUCCUUCUCUUUUUUAUUAUCUCAAGUUGAAAGAUUUUGUGCGCGUUAUCGUACGCUCGCGUGUCAGUGUGCACGUGUGUCGUUUCAUCGGAAUAACGCUGCCUACGAAGACAAGAUUGACGAAUGACGCCGUAACCGUGGGCUGGUUGGUGCUCGGAUAUCAGAACACGGAAGGGGACAACAUCUUUCACACCGCCACGACAACGUUCACCGGAUUUGAGCACCCCUUGUAAGGUGGAUACACCGGUGACACUCCAAUGUUCCUUGUGCGUUCUCCGUAGCGGCUGGUUGAAGCUCAAGUGGAGUCAUCGCUUGUGAGAGUGCUUACCAGCCCAACGUCGUCGACAUCGUCGUCCUCCUCCUCCUUCUUCUCCUCCUCCUCCUCCUCCUUCUCUUUCUCUUCUUCUUCCUCCUUCACCUUUCAGAGCUCCAUAUCCGUCCUUCGUUCUGAAGGAGAAGACUCGAAGGCGAAUCCUCGAGCAGCGAGGCAUCGUCUACAACAUUUGAGAGCGACAUAAACCUUAUUCUUACGCCACUUUACCACAAGAUGCAGUCACGGGUAGGGCGCACCCUUGCCUCUAGCGUACCUACGCUGUGAUAAUCCCUUCGUCCUAACGACGAUGGCGACGAGCUUUCAAGAUUAUACAUAGACUGGCUAGUAUUCCCUAUACUAUCUUCGUCUCGCAUUGUGUCUCACCUGCAUCGUCUUAAAUUUUUUUCUUUCUCUCUUUCUCUAUCUUCCUCUCUUUUUCUCUUAGUAAAGUAUAUCAACGCAUAUAGACGGUACGACUCCUCACGAGUCGACUUUUCCAACGUCUUUGACCUACUUCCAUUCUUAAUCAUCGCUCACCGAACGGUUCCAUUCUUCUGUUCUCCGUCGAGGUAAAACGAGGAGAUGUUUCCAUUCCUUGCGUUAUCUUCGAAAGAAACAAUCGCUUCUUUACUCUUAAAGAAUUCUAAAGCA